rnacentral:rRNA from 1 species
CCUACGGGAGGCAGCAGUGAGGAAUAUUGGUCAAUGGACGAGAGUCUGAACCAGCCAAGUAGCGUGAAGGAUGACUGCCCUAUGGGUUGUAAACUUCGUUUAUAAAGGAAUAAAACGAGGCACGUGUGCCUUUUUGCAUGUACUUUAUGAAUAAGGAUCGGCUAACUCCGUGCCAGAAGCCGCGGUAAUACGGAGGAUCCGAGCGUUAUACGGAUGUCUAGGGUUUAAAGGGGGCGGAGAUGGGUUGUUAAGUCAGUUGUGAAAGUUUGCGGCUGAACCGUAUAAUUGCAAUUUAUACUGGCAGUCUUGAGUGCAGUUGAGGUAGGCGGAAUUCGUGGUGUAGCGGUGAAAUGCUUAGAUAUCACGAAGAACCCCGCUUGCGAAGGCAGCUGACUAAACUGUGACUGACAUUGAUGCUCGAAAGUGUGGGUAUCAAACAGGAUUAGAUACCCCUGUAGUC